ACGUAUCCAACCUGCCGNCUACUCUUGGACAGCCUUCUGAAAGGAAGAUUAAUACAAGAUGGCAUCAUGAGUUCACAUGUUCACAUGAUUAAAGGUAUUCCGGUAGACGAUGGGGAUGCGUUCCAUUAGAUAGUAGGCGGGGUAACGGCCCACCUAGUCUUCGAUGGAUAGGGGUUCUGAGAGGAAGGUCCCCCACAUUGGAACUGAGACACGGUCCAAACUCCUACGGGAGGCAGCAGUGAGGAAUAUUGGUCAAUGGGCGAGAGCCUGAACCAGCCAAGUAGCGUGAAGGAUGACUGCCCUAUGGGUUGUAAACUUCUUUUAUAAAGGAAUAAAGUCGGGUAUGCAUACCCGUUUGCAUGUACUUUAUGAAUAAGGAUCGGCUAACUCCGUGCCAGCAGCCGCGGUAAUACGGAGGAUCCGAGCGUUAUCCGGAUUUAUUGGGUUUAAAGGGAGCGUANAUGGAUGGUUAAGUCAGUUGUGAAAGUUUGCGGCUCAAC
rnacentral:rRNA from 1 species